GCCCGGCACAGCCCUCAGGAACUACUGAGGGAGCCGGCCGGAACCGGCUGGAACCGGCCGGAGCCGGCUGGAACUGGCUGCGUGCACCGCAGGGUGCCCGCCAGCCUCUCCCUCAGGGCACCUGCAGCUGCCCUGGUGCCCAUGGCCUGCCAGGGACACCCCAAGUAACCUGCCAGCAGCCCCUCAAGGCUCCAGGCACAACACCUUCCCUGCCAGGCGUCAUGGAUUCACCUGAGCCUCUUCGGUCGGGACAAGAUUGGGGAGAACACAGGGAACAUGUGGCGGACAUGGCCAAACCCUGAGGUGCCCAGCGCAGCAGCUGAGGGAAAACAAAUACACAAAUUCAAGGACUUCAAGCUAGCAUCAAAGAGAAGACCAAUUGAUGAGAAAUAUUUUUAAUAUACUCUCUCAGGAAGCAGAAUCAGACAUAAUGAUUACCAUCCUUCAUAAAGGUGACCUGGAGUCCAUAUUCAGAGACAUCUGUGCUUAAUUAUAUCUGUCAGUGGACAAUGCAACCUCUUCAUGAGAGCUCACAUGUAUCUUACAGCAGAGGGAAGAUGAAGUUUCUUGAAGACAGCCUUAGAGGUACUUGGCUUCCAGUGUUGGUUCCACCUUUUCUGCAAAUUCUCUAAAUCUCUAAUGAAACUCAAGUUCUCUCUCCAUUACUCCAUAUUGUCAGUUGCAUUUAUUCUGAUCUCUUUCUAGUACCUGAAUGAUACUGAAACCUGCAAAUAUUUCUCAAAAUAUGGAUUUCUAACUCUCCAGUAAUUUAUAUUCCACUGCUUUCAUUGAUGCCUGAUGGAUCAUGAUCACAUGCACUCUAGCAGUCUAGGAGACGACACACACAUUUCCUCCUGACAGGUGAUGCAGAGCUCUCAAUUUCAUAUCAUAGCUGAUAAGCAGCUAUGUAUGCAUCAAUAACUGAAUCCCACCACUUUACAAUCUACCUUUUCCUGUCA